rnacentral:lncRNA from 1 species
CCACCUCAGCGUCUUCUUCCAUGGAUCACGAAUCUCGGCAGCAAAUCGACCCCACGGCCUCUUCCUCACGCCUCUGAAAUGGCGUUGGGGCUCAUUCUUCGCCUGUACUGCUGGAAAGGAAGGAGCUGAAGAACCAACAAGGGAGAGGUUGAUUUCACAUAUAACUUCUCUGAAUCUCUAUAACAUUUCACAUAUGCAUCCUGUCAACAUUCUUUCAUUAUCAUUUUUUUCAGCCCUUUCUACAACAAGAUCAUAAUUGAUUAAUGACGUUGCUGAAUUUCUUCUGGCAAUUUUUUUUAUUUUAUGGUUGCAGACAAGAUGUUGGGUCUAAAACGGCCUAUACUACUGUAGAUUCGAGAAAAAAGUUUGAUUUUAUAGCAGUAAGUUUUAAUGAUGUUUUUUCCUUUUUAAUUAAUUAAUUAGUCUAUCCUCUAUUAUAUUUAUUGUAUUUGUUUUUCAAUGCAGAGGUCAGAGACACAGUUGUUGUUUUGAAUGCUCAACAAAUCCAUAUCUAAGGUAACCAUUUGUAGUUUUUUAUUGGGUUUUUAUUUUACUGUAUUGCUUGCGCAAAUGUUUGUGAUUGCUUUAAUUGGGUUUUUAUUCUGGAGCAAUGAAAGGAAUGUUUGUAGAAUUGAAAACCCAUGUUUGUGCUUUAUUUUCGUUGAUAAUUGAAAACCCAUGUUUAAGCACUGAAAGGAAUGUAUAUAUCUUGAUCUAGUGCUUGCGGCAUUGCAAAUUAAUUAGUCAGAAUUGCAAAUUAAUUAUUUUAUGUUUUUCAAAUUAGUCAAAUUGACACAACAAUAUGAGGAAGUGCAGAAUAUGUAAAACCGUUUUCCAAACCAAGUAGGCAGAAUUGAAAACCCAUGUUUGUGUUUUAUUUUCGUUGAUAAUUAAGGAAAUGAGAGAUUCCUUAUCUGUAUUUUGAUCUUCAGUGUACUUGUUGGUGGAAAAUCAUAUUGAUUUUAUUCUUUAUAUGAAAAAUUGUUUUUGCUUCUAUUUGGAUUUUUGUUUCCCUGUUCAACUUCCUAUUUUCAUUCUAUUCCUUGGAAUUUCUCUUGAAAAUUGCCCAAAAUCUGAUGUGGAAUACUUUUAUUUUUAUAUCUUCUAAUUUAAUUUAUCAAGUUAUAAUUUUUUAUUUUUUAUUUCAGGUUUUGAUGGUAACAAUUGGACUAUUGGAAUGUUUUAUGAUAAUGUUAUUUGUUGUUUUUGUUAAGCCCUUUGAAGGCAAUGCUUUGUAAUUUGUAUUUUAACUUGUUGGUAUGUGUUAUUUAAACUUAUCUGCAGCAGGAGUCCUGCCCACUCAAACAAAACAAAUGAAAAAUUAUUAGGAAGGCAACAAUGAAUAUUCGGUUGCAAAAAACAACCCAAAAAAAGAAUUGAUUUGGUUAAGAAUCUUAUAAGAAAAGUAGACAAUAUUAUCAUUAAUUACAAGCCCAUCAAAAAUUUAAUCAAAA